UACGUAGGGGGCAAGCGUUGUCCGGAAUCAUUGGGCGUAAAGAGCGUGUAGGCGGCUUGGUAAGUCCGCUGUGAAAGUCCAGGGCUCAACCCUGGAAUGCCGGUGGAAACUGUCAAGCUUGAGUCCGGAAGAGGCGAGUGGAAUUCCUGGUGUAGCGGUGAAAUGCGCAGAUAUCAGGAGGAACACCGAUGGCGAAGGCAGGUCUCUGGGCCACUACUGACGCUGAGAAGCGAAAGCAUGGGGAGCGAACAGG
rnacentral:rRNA from 1 species